rnacentral:rRNA from 1 species
GAUGAACGCUAGCGGCAGGCCUAAUACAUGCAAGUCGAACGGUAAGGCCCUUUCGGGGGUACACGAGUGGCGGACGGGUGCGUAACGCGUAUGCAACAUACCUUCAAGCGGGGAUAUGCCAGGGAAACUUGGUGCAACACCCCAUAGCAUUUCGGGACCGCAUGGUCUUGGGAUUAAAUAUUUAUAGCUUGGAGAUUGGCAUGCGUGACAUUAGCUAGUUGGCGGGGUAACGGCCCACCAAGGCGACGAUGUCUAGCUGGUCUGAGAGGAUGAUCAGCCACACUGGGACUGAGACACGGCCCAGACUCCUACGGGAGGCAGCAGUAGGGAAUAUUGGACAAUGGGGGGAACCCGUGAUCCAGCCAUGCCGCGUGAGGGAAGAAGGUCCUCUGGAUUGUAAACCUCUUUUGGCGGGGGACAAACCUGCACUAUACGUGCAGCUGAGGGUACCCGCAGAAUAAGCACCGGCUAACUCCGUGCCAGCAGCCGCGGUAAU